AGUGAACGCUGGCGGUAGGCCUAACACAUGCAAGUCGAACGGCAGCACAGUAAGAGCUUGCUCUUACGGGUGGCGAGUGGCGGACGGGUGAGGAAUACAUCGGAAUCUACUUUUUCGUGGGGGAUAACGUAGGGAAACUUACGCUAAUACCGCAUACGACCUACGGGUGAAAGCAGGGGAUCUUCGGACCUUGCGCGAUUGAAUGAGCCGAUGUCGGAUUAGCUAGUUGGCGGGGUAAAGGCCCACCAAGGCGACGAUCCGUAGCUGGUCUGAGAGGAUGAUCAGCCACACUGGAACUGAGACACGGUCCAGACACCUACGGGAGGCAGCAGUGGGGAAUAUUGGACAAUGGGCGCAAGACUGACCAGCCAUACCGCGUGGGUGAAGAAGGCCUUCGGGUUGUAAAGCCCUUUUGUUGGGAAAGAAAAGCAGCAGGUUAAUACCCCGCUGUUCUGACGGUACCCAAAGAAUAAGCACCGGCUAACUUCGUG
rnacentral:rRNA from 1 species